UACAGAGGUCUCAAGCGUUGUUCGGAUUCAUUGGGCGUAAAGGGUGCGUAGGCGGCGCGGUAAGUCGGGUGUGAAAUCUCGGAGCUUAACUCCGAAACUGCAUUCGAUACUGCCGUGCUUGAGGACUGGAGAGGAGACUGGAAUUUACGGUGUAGCGGUGAAAUGCGCAGAUAUCGGGAGGAACACCAGUGGCGAAGGCAGCUCGCUGGACGUAACUGAC
rnacentral:rRNA from 1 species